GUAAUACAUAAGUAACCUGCCCUAGACAGGGGGAGUAACUAUUGGAAACGAUAGCUAAGACCGCAUAGGUACGGACACUGCAUGGUGACCGUAUUAAAAGUGCCUCAAAGCACUGGUAGAGGAUGGACUUAUGGCGCAUUAGCUGGUUGGCGGGGUAACGGGCCCACCAAGGCGACGAUGCGUAGCCGACCUGAGAGGGUGACCGGCCACACUGGGACUGAGACACGGCCCAGACUCCUACGGGAGGCAGCAUG
rnacentral:rRNA from 1 species